UACGGAGGGAGCUAGCGUUGUCCGGAAUCAUUGGGCGUAAAGGGCGCGUAGGUGGCCCGGUCAGUCAGUGGUGAAAGCGCGGGGCUCAACUCCGCGUCGGCCAUUGAUACUGCUGGGCUGGAGCACUGUAGAGGCAGGCGGAAUUCCGGGUGUAGCGGUGGAAUGCGCAGAUAUCAGGAAGAACACCCGUGGCGAAGGCGACUUCCUGGCCUGUUCUUGACGCUGAGGCGCGAAAGCUAGGGAGCAAACGGG
rnacentral:rRNA from 1 species